rnacentral:rRNA from 1 species
GCCGGUGGCCCAACCCCUCGGGGAGGGAGCCGUCGAAGGUGGGAUCGGCGAUUGGGACGAAGUCGUAACAAGGUAGCCGUACCGGAAGGUGCGGCUGGAUCACCUCCUUUCUAAGGAG